UACGGGGGGGGCAAGCGUUGUUCGGAAUUACUGGGCGUAAAGGGCUCGUAGGCGGCCAACUAAGUCAGACGUGAAAUCCCUCAGCUUAACUGGGGAACUGCGUCUGAUACUGGAUGGCUUGGAUUCGGGAGAGGAAUGCGGAAUUCCAGGUGUAGCGGUGAAAUGCGUAGAUAUCUGGAGGAACACCGGUGGCGAAGGCGGCGAGCUGGUCCAUUACUGACGCUGAGGCGCGACAGCGUGGGGAGCAAACAGG
rnacentral:rRNA from 1 species